GACGAACGCUGGCGGCGUGCCUAAUACAUGCAAGUAGAACGCUGAAGGAGGAGCUUGCUUCUCUGGAUGAGUUGCGAACGGGUGAGUAACGCGUAGGUAACCUGCCUGGUAGCGGGGGAUAACUAUUGGAAACGAUAGCUAGUACCGCAUAACAGUAGAUAUCGCAUGAUAUCUACUUGAAAGGUGCAAUUGCAUCACUACCAGAUGGACCUGCGUUGUAUUAGCUAGUUGGUGAGGUAACGGCUCACCAAGGCGACGAUACAUAGCCGACCUGAGAGGGUGAUCGGCCACACUGGGACUGAGACACGGCCCAGACUCCUACGGGAGGCAGCAGUAGGGAAUCGUCGGCAAUGGACGGAAGUCUGACCGAGCAACGCCGCGUGAGUGAAGAAGGUUGUCGGAUCGUAAAGCUCUGUUGUAAGAGAAGAACGAGUGUGAGAGUGGAAAGUUCACACUGUGACGGUAUCUUACCAGAAAGGGACGGCUAACUACGUG
rnacentral:rRNA from 1 species